rnacentral:rRNA from 1 species
GAUGAACGCUGGCGGCGUGCCUAAUACAUGCAAGUCGAACGAAACUUCUUUAUCACCGAGUGCUUGCACUCACCGAUAAAGAGUUGAGUGGCGAACGGGUGAGUAACACGUGGGCAACCUGCCCAAAAGAGGGGGAUAACACUUGGAAACAGGUGCUAAUACCGCAUAACCAUAGUUACCGCAUGGUAACUAUGUAAAAGGUGGCUAUACUACCGCUUUUGGAUGGGCCCGCGGCGCAUUAGCUAGUUGGUAGGGUAAAGGCUUACCAAGGCAAUGAUGCGUAGCCGAAUUGAGAGGUUGAUUGGCCAAAUUGGGACUGAGACACGGCCCAAAAUCCUACGGGAGGCAGCAGUAGGGAAUCUUCCAACAUGGGCGAAAGCCUGAUGGAGCAACGCCGCGUGGGUGAAGAAGGUCUUCGGAUCGUAAAACCCUGUUGUUAGAGAAGAAAGUGCGUGAGAGUAACUGUUCACGUUUCGACGGUAUCUAACCGGAAAGCCACGGCUAACUACGUG